AAACUUUCAACAACGGAUCUCUUGGCUCCGGCAUCGAUGAAGAACGCAGCGAAAUGCGAUAACUAGUGUGAAUUGCAGAAUUCAGGGAAUCAUCGAGUCUUUGAACGCACAUUGCGGCCGCUGGCAUUCCAGCGGCCAUGCCUGUCCGAGCGCCACUA
rnacentral:rRNA from 1 species